CCUACGGGUGGCAGCAGUGGGGGAUAUUGCACAAUGGGGGAAACCCUGAUGCAGCGACGCCGCGUGAGUGACGAAGGAUUUCAGUAUGUAAAGCUCUAUCAGCAGGGGAGCAAAUGACAGUACCUGACCACGAAGCCCCGGCUAACUACGUGCCAGGAGCCGCGGUAAUACGUAGGGGGCAAGCGUUAUCCGGAUUUACUGGGUGUACAGGGAGCGUAGACGGUUAUGUAAGUCUGGAGUGAAAGCCCGGGGGCCAACCCCGGGACUGCUUUGGAAACUGGGUGACUGGAGUACAGGAGGGGCAGGCGGAAUGCCUGGUGUAGCGGUGAAAUGCGUAGAUAUCAGGAGGAACACCGGCGGCGAAGGCGGCCUGCUGGACUGAAACUGACGUUGAGGCUCGAAAGCGUGGGGAGCAAACAGGAUUAGAUACCCCUGUAGUC
rnacentral:rRNA from 1 species